rnacentral:rRNA from 1 species
UGGCUCAGGACGAACGCUGGCGGCAUGCCUAAUACAUGCAAGUCGAGCGGACGUUUCAGAGAGCUUGCUCUUUGAAACGUUAGCGGCGGACGGGUGAGUAACACGUGGGCAACCUGCCCUACAGAUGGGGAUAACUCCGGGAAACCGGGGCUAAUACCGAAUAAUCAGUUGGUUCGCAUGAACCAACUCUGAAAGACGGUUUCGGCUGUCACUGUAGGAUGGGCCCGCGGCGCAUUAGCUAGUUGGUGGGGUAAUGGCCUACCAAGGCGACGAUGCGUAGCCGACCUGAGAGGGUGAUCGGCCACACUGGGACUGAGACACGGCCCAGACUCCUACGGGAGGCAGCAGUAGGGAAUCUUCCACAAUGGACGAAAGUCUGAUGGAGCAAUGCCGCGUGAGCGAAGAAGGUUUUCGGAUCGUAAAGCUCUGUUGUAAGGGAAGAACACGUACGGGAGUAACUGCCCGUACCUUGACGGUACCUUAUUAGAAAGCCACGGCU